CCUACGGGUGGCAGCAGUGAGGAAUAUUGGUCAAUGGACGAGAGUCUGAACCAGCCAAGUAGCGUGAAGGAUGACUGCCCUAUGGGUUGUAAACUUCUUUUAUAUGGGAAUAAAAUGUUCCACGUGUGGGAUUUUGUAUGUACCAUAUGAAUAAGGAUCGGCUAACUCCGUGCCAGCAGCCGCGGUAAUACGGAGGAUCCGAGCGUUAUCCGGAUGUAUUGGGUUUAAAGGGCGCGUAGGUGGAUUUUUAAGUCAGUUGUGAAAGUUUGCGGCUCAACCGUAAAAUUGCAGUUGAAACUGGCAGUCGUGAGUACAGUAGAGGCAGGCGGAAUUCGUGGUGUAGCGGUGAAAUGCUUAGAUAUCACGAAGAACUCCGAUUGCGAAGGCAGUUCACUGGACUGCAACUCACACUGAGGCUCGAAAGUGUGGGUAUCAAACAGGAUUAGAUACCCGUGUAGUC
rnacentral:rRNA from 1 species